UACAGAGGGGGCAAGCGUUAUUCGGAAUUAUUGGGCGUAAAGGGCGCGUAGGCGGCUUUGCAAGUGACGGGUGAAAUCCCUCGGCUUAACCGAGGAACUGCCUGUCAGACUGCAUUGCUUGAGUCCGGGAGAGGUGAGUGGAAUUCCCAGUGUAGCGGUGAAAUGCGUAGAUAUUGGGAGGAACACCAGUGGCGAAGGCGGCUCACUGGACCGGAACUGACGCUGAGGCGCGAAAGCUAGGGGAGCAAACGGG
rnacentral:rRNA from 1 species